CCUCCCAACCCCUGUGAACAUACCAAUUGUUGCCUCGGCGGAUCAGCCCGCUCCCGGUAAAACGGGACGGCCCGCCAGAGGACCCCUAAACUCUGUUUCUAUAUGUAACUUCUGAGUAAAACCAUAAAUAAAUCAAAACUUUCAACAACGGAUCUCUUGGUUCUGGCAUCGAUGAAGAACGCAGCAAAAUGCGAUAAGUAAUGUGAAUUGCAGAAUUCAGUGAAUCAUCGAAUCUUUGAACGCACAUUGCGCCCGCCAGUAUUCUGGCGGGCAUGCCUGUUCGAGCGUCAUUUCAACCCUCAAGCCCCCGGGUUUGGUGUUGGGGAUCGGCGAGCCCUUGCGGCAAGCCGGCCCCGAAAUCUAGUGGCGGUCUCGCUGCAGCUUCCAUUGCGUAGUAGUAAAACCCUCGCAACUGGUACGCGGCGCGGCCAAGCCGUUAAACCCCCAACUUCUGAAUGUUGACCUCGGGAUGCAGGUUUUGCGUCUGUGUGG
rnacentral:rRNA from 1 species